GAUGAACGCUGGCGGCGUGCCUAAUACAUGCAAGUCGAGCGAACGGACCCGAAGCUUGCUUCUCUGAUGUUAGCGGCGGACGGGUGAGUAACACGUGGAUAACCUACCUAUAAGACUGGGAUAACUUCGGGAAACCGGAGCUAAUACCGGAUAAUAUUUUGAACCGCAUGGUUCAAAAGUGAAAGACGGUCUUGCUGUCUCUUAUAGAUGGAUCCGCGCUGCAUUAGCUAGUUGGUAAGGUAACGGCUUACCAAGGCACCGAUGCAUAGCCGACCUGAGAGGGUGAUCGGCCACACUGGGACUGAGACACGGUCCAGACUCCUACGGGAGGCAGCAGUAGGGAAUCUUCCGCAAUGGGCGAAAGCCUGACGGAGCAACGCCGCGUGAGUGAUGAAGGUCUUCGGAUCGUAAAACUCUGUUAUUAGGGAAGAACAUAUGUGUAAGUAACUGUGCACAUCUUGACGGUACCUAAUCAGAAAGCCACGGCUAACUACGUG
rnacentral:rRNA from 1 species